rnacentral:rRNA from 1 species
CCUACGGGACGCAGCAGUGAGGAAUAUUGGUCAAUGGGUGGAAGCCUGAACCAGCCAAGUCGCGUGAGGGAAUAAGGCCCUACGGGUCGUAAACCUCUUUUGCCGGGGAGCAAGGGCCGGGACGCGUCCCGGCCCGGAGAGUACCCGGAGAAAAAGCAUCGGCUAACUCCGUGCCAGCAGCCGCGGUAAUACGGAGGAUGCGAGAGUUAUCCGGAUUUAUUGGGUUUAAAGGGUGCGUAGGAGGGCUUUUAAGUCAGCGGUAAAAAUUUGGGGCUCAACACCGUCCGCCCGGUGAA